UACAUGGGGUGCAAACGUUGCUCGGAAUCACUGGGCGUAAAGGGUGCGUAGGCGGGUCUUUAAGUCAGGGGUGAAAUCCUGGAGCUCAACUCCAGAACUGCCUUUGAUACUGAAGAUCUUGAGUUCGGGAGAGGUGAGUGGAACUGCGAGUGUAGAGGUGAAAUUCGUAGAUAUUCGCAAGAACACCAGUGGCGAAGGCGGCUCACUGGCCCGAUACUGACGCUGAUGCACGAAAGCGUGGGGAGCAAACAGG
rnacentral:rRNA from 1 species